GGCCUCUCCCCCUCAAGUACCGUGUCCAGCCAGCCUGCAAGCGGCUCACCCUAGCCACGGUGCCCACCCCCUCCGAGGGCACCAACACCAGCGGGGCGUCCGAGUCUGAGGCCCGGUCACCUGGUCAGGACAGAGCAACUGCAUCUAAAAGCACAAGAAGACAGAAACCUGUAAGCUCUGACCCCACCCCCACCCCUUGAGAGGUCAGCGGACCACCUCCUUAGGGACAGACCCUGGCAGGUCGCUGCCCACCGAGAUUUCCUCAAGUGUGCAUAGAUCUGAGAGGAGUCGGGAGUCGAGACUCGAGAUUCCAUCAUAGCGUAGGUGUGUGGGGUUGGGAGCCCCCUGAUGGGCUUGUCUGUGUUUGCACCUUGUCCUGUGUCUGAGGUCCUGUGACUGUACCCUCCUUUGCCCUGGGACAUCUGUAUCUCUUGGCUUUGUAAUAAAUGCUGCAUACUU
rnacentral:lncRNA from 10 species